rnacentral:snoRNA from 1 species
ACCUUCCUAACAAAGGCAUGUCUGUGGUUUCCUGUCCUUGAACACAUAAGAAUUGCAGGCAAAGAGAUGUGGACUUGGAAAAAUCUGGAGCCAGCUUGCUUCCGCGGAGGCUCAAGAUCACCUUUACCACAUAG